rnacentral:lncRNA from 1 species
UACAAAAUUAAGAUGCAUGGUGUCACGACCCGAUAUGUGGGCCCGUGACCGGCACUAGGGAAUGGGUAGGCUUAAGGCCACCGAUUCCCGUAGUAAGCCUUACUAACCGAUAAUUCAAUAAAAUGCUUAUAAUAAUAUAAUAUUAAUCAUGACUGACGUGCGAUACAUAAAUCUAACUGGUCUGUGAUAACAUUUCAUGUCCAUUAAGGACUAAAAAAAUCAUAACAAAUCAAAAUAGUCUACAGCGGAAGGUUUAGAGUAUAAAAUAACUAAAAAUAAAAAAUUAUAAAUUAUUUACAAUAAGCCCGAUGAAGAAAGAAAUCGGGCUGUUAAAAUGCAGGAUGGCAAAGAACUCUAACUAUCACCUGAAAAAUAAAAUUGAGACUGUCAAUCUCUAGAGUGAGUUAAAAUCAAAUAAUCCUGUAACUAUUGUAGUCUCAUCAAUAAAAUAAUAUUUAUUAACUCGAUUUAUCAUGGCAUUAUAUAUCAAAUACGUGUCAUACCAUAAUUUAGAAAUAAAAUACAUUUAAAGAUUUAUGGGACGAGUGGCUCAGCAGAACCCUAACCCAAAACGCUAAUAGCCUUUCAGCUCUCUUAUUCUAAUAGGUCUGGCGCCUAGAGAGCGAAGCUCAACUAGGAUCCUUACAUCCAGCCUGGACACUUGUUCCCCAAUUAAGCAGGUGCCGAGAGAGCAUUGCUCGACCAGAGACCUUUCUCCGGCAGCAAACUUUUAUAACCUAGAGAGUUAUAAUCGACCAGGGCAAAAUCCACAAAUAACCUUUGUUACAUGUUUCUGAUUAUUACUGAUGCGCACGCAGUCUUGAUGCAACCCGUCAUGUGGCAUGUUCUACAGUCACCUCAUCUCACAGUCAUAAUCAUAACAUAUAUAUAAAAAGAAAUCAUAAAUAUACUAUUCAUAGGUAACACAAUUUAUUUGAUUACAUAUUGAGAAAUAGAGUUUAGUAAUAUCGGGUAAAGCAAACAUGCAAAAUAUCUAUAGAGAUAAUAAUAAUAGUAUUUAAAUAACAUUAUUAAAAUAUCGUAAAUAAUGAUAAUGAUACUCAUACAUAACAUUAAACAUUAAAUAUUGAAUGAAAUCUAGACAUGCCAAAGUACAAUUAUUAUAUGACUUUAACUCACAGUUCUGUCGCGCUCUGCAGUCUGCUCUAACGCCUCGGGUGGAGCUGGCGGGAUGGACGAAUUAUUAUUCACUAAAAAACUCGGUUAAUAGACAUUCUUAAAUUUUCGUAGGCCUAGACCUCUAGAUUAGGCUGCCUAAAAUUAUUUUAGACUCGAGAAUUCUGUCGAAAAUUCGGCAGAGCCUCCCCUAAAUUAUGGACAUUUACUCCCCUUACAACGGGUCCAGAACUUGCUAGAAACACUUCAAAUAUUCUGCGAUUAAUUUAACGGGAGUCAGGCCACCAAAACUGCAUUAUGUUUCUUGACUCCGCAACAUAACACAAUCACAAUUAAUUAAAUCCAACUAAUUUUUAAAUUAUCCAUCAUUGAUAAUUAAUAGCCAUAAUAUUUUUCUAGAAUUACAACAUAAUUUAUAGGGUCUAAAUAAAAUUAUACCGAGUCGAAAUUGUAAUAUUUCGCGUGUCCGGAAAGUACCAUGGUCCAGAAGCCGGUCCUACCAACAGUGUCAAAAUUUGAAUCCAGAAGCGCCUAUGUGAAGCUUGAGUUGUAGGAGUCCGAAAACAUGACAGUUUCGGCCGGAAACUCACCGGAAGGCACCAGAUUGGGGCCGGAAAGGUUCUACUCCAGUGAAGCCCCUCUAAAGCUGCCGGUGGAGGAAAUCAAUGAGGAGACUUGCUUUGGGGUGAUGAGGAGUCCGAAUCCAGCAUCGGAUUGCCGAAAGGAUGUCGGCAGGAGCCCGAAUCGACGACGGCAGCCUCUUUCGUCCUUCGUCGGCGUCGCGCGGAAGGGAGGGAGAAGGUUUGAAGGCUGUGCAGCAGCGGGAGGAAGGAAAAGAAAGAUGCGCGGCGGUGGCAACAGCUCGACGACACGUAGGUGGGCGGGGGAGAGGGCAAUUGGCAAGGAGAAGGGAAAAGGGGGAGGGGAAGGAGGAAGGGGAAGAAAGGAAAAGAAGGAGAGGGGGGAAAAGGGAAGGAAAGAA